GAUGAACGCUGGCGGCGUGCCUAAUACAUGCAAGUCGAGCGAACAGACGAGGAGCUUGCUUCUCUGACGUUAGCGGCGGACGGGUGAGUAACACGUGGAUAACCUACCUAUAAGACUGGGAUAACUUCGGGAAACCGUAGCUAAUACCGGAUAAUAUUUUGAACCGCAUGGUUCAAUAGUGAAAGACGGUCUUGCUGUCACUUAUAGAUGGAUCCGCGCUGCAUUAGCUAGUUGGUAAGGUAACGGCUUACCAAGGCAACGAUGCAUAGCCGACCUGAGAGGGUGAUCGGCCACACUGGAACUGAGACACGGUCCAGACUCCUACGGGAGGCAGCAGUAGGGAAUCUUCCGCAAUGGGCGAAAGCCUGACGGAGCAACGCCGCGUGAGUGAUGAAGGUCUUCGGAUCGUAAAACUCUGUUAUUAGGGAAGAACAUAUGUGUAAGUAACUGUGCACAUCUUGACGGUACCUAAUCAGAAAGCCACGGCUAACUACGUG
rnacentral:rRNA from 1 species